AAAAAUCAAAUGGGAUGUAGGUGAAGGCAGGUCGCGUAGCCUGUACAGAAAGCUGAGUGGAGAGGGCAGGCCAGCCAAUGUUUUGCUUCACGCCAUGUUGAGACCGCGGCUUCCCAUAACGCUAAAAGUGAGAGCAACAGUAGUAUGAAGAAUGGAUAUUCAACCUUUUGGAAACCUCGUUAUGAAGACUUCUGAACCUCCUGUUCUGGCACCCAGCCAUAAUGAGUCUUCAGCAGUUGAACUCAAGGCAGAGGGGCAGUAUUGUCUAGCUGCUACACAGAACAGGAAGGAAGAGGAGGAGGAAGAAGAAGAAGAAGAAGGAGAAGGAGAAGGAGAAGAAGAAGAAGAAGAAGAAGAGAAAGAGGAAAAGGAGAUACAAGAACAGAAAGAACCAAGAAAGAAAGUUAGGCGUGGCAGAGCAAAGGCAAAGCGGAAAGGAAGAACACAGCAAAGUUUGGCCUUGGCUAAUGCACAAGUAGCAGCAGCAGCCUUCACCUUCAUGCGGAAGCGACGGCAGGACCUCACACUUGGAGCCAAAGUCAAGGUUCUUGAAAUGCUGGAGAAGGAACCUAAAAUUCCCCAGGGCAAGAUUGCUUCUAUAUUUCGUGUGAGUCAAAGCCAAGUUUCAAGAAUAAUGAAAAAUAAGGAAGCCAUCAUGACACAGUGGAACCGAUUUGCCACGCCUGACCGUAAGCGUUGUCGCUUGGGCAAGGCUGGUGCACUUGAGCAAAAACUUGUUGACUGGUACAAGGAAGCAAAAAAGGAAGACUUGCCUAUUUCAGGGCCGAUUCUGAUGGAAAAAGCAAAAUCUAUAGGAAAUGAAAUGGGUAUUGACUUCAAGCCUUCUGCUGGAUGGCUUGGAAGGUGGAAAGACAGAAACGGAGUUACUUUAAAGAGAUUUAAAGAUAAAGAUGGGGCUCUGUCUGUAACAAAAGUUGGCAAUCAUUGGAGACGGUACAUGUUUACCAAAGCAACAAAAGAUUAUUCACCUCAGAAUGUUUGGGUAAUAGAUGAAACUGUGUUAGCCUAUGAUGCUUUACCUGAACACUCAGUACCUGGAGUAGUGAGUGGUACUGACAAGAUUUCUAUUAUAUUAGCAUGCAAUCUUGCUGGGACUGAGCGAAAACCUCCAGUGAUCAUAGGUAAUUCUCAGGCUCUUAACUCUGUCAACCUUCCCACACCAUUCCAGCAUCAUCCAGAAUCUGCUGUCACGCUUGAUUUCUUUUCCUCUUGGUUGAAGGAGUGGGAUCGUGAACUCCAUACGAAACGAAAAAAAAUUGUUGCGUUAAUGAGUAAAAUGCCACAUCAUCCAGAAAAUCCUCAUGUAUUUAAUAUAAAUGUGACUUUUUUCCCUCAAGAUACAUCCACAGUGUUACAGCCAUUGCAAUUGGGCAUUAUAAAUGUAUUUAAAUCUUUGUACAGGUAUCAACAGCUCAAAUAUGUUAUGGCUAGGACACAAGCUGGUGAAAAAAUUGGUCUUAGCAAUAUGUUCAGUCAGAAUAUUCUUUCAGCACAUUCACUUAGUCUGUCUCUUUUAGAUGCUGUUUUUAUGGUGCAUAGAGCUUGGAAACAUGUAAGCCCAGAGACAAUUGUCAAGGGUGUGGUAAAGGCUGGAAUGAGUAAGGAUGUGGAUGCUUUGAAUGUGUGUGAUCAUGUUCAGGCACCACCAGGAAUAUCUCAAGAAGACUUUGAAGUGCUGGUCAACAUGGAUGAAAGGCUCAGUAUUACUGAAUGUACAGAACACCAGCCUCAGACAUUAGGUUGUAGUCAGCCAGUAAUAGCUGACAAUGUACAGUUCCCUCAGCAUUUGAACAUGUAUGGAAAUUCAGGAAACAAAACCCAACAGCCCAAUCCUCAGAUUGAUUUAUAUCCAGGAGCAUUGUUUGAAUAUCCCAGUGUAUCUGAAGCAGUUUAUGCCUGCCAGAUAUUGAGACAUUAUUUGCAGAAACAAGGGGGUAAAUUAUAUGAUGGAUUUUCAGACUUGGAAUCAUCUAUUCAUUUAGAUAUGAUUUUGGAUGCAAGACCUGAUCUAAGAAAUAACUAUCAGCCUGACCCCUUACAUGACUCCUCCUCAGUUCACAGUUUGGAAGCUCAUCAGGCAGCCUUGGAACAGAAAACUGAGUACUUGCAAAAAAUGCAGGAUGAACUUCAUCAACAGAAGAUACAGAAAGAAAUGAAAAAGGUUACACAGUCCCCAGUAACAUUCCAAAAUUCACAAGGCUCACACAACACAUUACCUCAGGAAAUAAGGACUGACCUGCACUCACAGCUGUUAGGGAUUCAUAGAUCAGCAAUGUCCAGUCAAGACUUGUCCCGACAGGAAAUCCUGAGGCAAGAAGUGCACCACCCUAUGCAACAUCCUGACUUCAUGAGGCAAGAUGUGAUGAGGCCAGAUUACAGGCAGGAGGUUCAUCAAGACAGAUGCCGUGCCUCACUUGUUGAGCUGCGUUCCUUUAAGCACACUCAUGGUGAUGUCAGAGAAGAUCUAAGAAAUGAUGGUAAAAAUGAUUCCAUGACACUGACAUCAGAGCUAAACAGCCUGUCAUCAGAUAAUCAUCCAGCUACAGAACUUCACCAUCAUGUGAUGGAUGUGGAUCAUAAUGUGCAUCAUCCAGAUGGAAGACUCAAUAAUCCUGGAAUACCAUAUUAUACUCUGACCAAUCCACUACCUCAUUAUAUGCAGUCUAACUCGAAGCAUCGAAGAAUGUCAACAAAACACAAGCCCAGGCCCCUCAUUGCGGCCCACUCCUCUGCCACCACUCCGCGUGUACCAUACCCCAGUUUCCUCCUGUUGUUUGUGCACCAAGAAACACCCUACAUACCCUGAAGUUAAGCUGCAUUUAUUCUCCAGAGAUGCGAGAAGGGCUAACCCAUGAACCACGGAAAGUGAUCUGUGGGAUACCCAUCCUGUAAGAGACAAAACAGCACCGUACCGACGAUCCUCAGCAUCGCAUGUGGUGGCAUCAAAUCACAACACUGGCGGAGCUCUUCAGUCAGCACCAUCAAAAUGCUGCAGAAAAUUGUCUGAUGCUAAAACAGUUCCAUUCACUUCCCUGGGAAGCCUGGACAGCUCUUGAAGACAUGAGCCUCCUUUUCUCCCUGCCUGGAAGGAUGGCUCCAGCAAUUCCUGCCUCAACUGUCUGCUGUUUGACCGAAGAUUCAUGCAGGACCUUCCAAUACUGUGAGACUAAAUUGUUAUUCACUCUGUUUCUUAUAUGGAGUUUUCAACUUAUUAUAUGAUUAAUCUAUUUACUUAUUUACGUAUUUAUUAUACUUCAGUGCAUAAAAUCUGGCAUAAGUUGUGUUAGAUAUUUCGUUCUGUUAACUAAGGGUAUAAUUUACAAUGUAUAGGUUGCCAUCAACCUAACAAGUCUGAGCACUUCUAAUCUGAUUUAUGAAGACACAAGUUUCCUAUCAUUGUCUCGUCCUUAGACAUUCAAAUUUAGUCUUGCUUGUUGAUGCGGCAUCUUCCUCCAUCACCCUCUUGUUUAUUCGUACUGACUGGGAUGCGUCAUGGAUAAGAGUCGAAUCAGGCGGUUCACAGCAGGCAGUUCACAUUGGCAACGCUAAGUGACGAAUGUGGAAGCGGAGAGGACAUAAAUGUGUGAGAUGUUAGUGGUGGAGGGAUUGGAGUCUUGUGGUGGUGCAGUGGUGUACAAGUGCAGGGGGAAGGAGGUGGUUAGAGAGAGAGGAAAAGGUAGUGGAAGCAACACACACACACACACACACACACACACACACACACACACACAUUUAUUGACCUCCAUCGUUGUGGCACUCGCUAAGCUAGCUUCACUCAAGGAUUUGUCUUACCAAUAACAUGAUACCGCCUGCCUAAACUGGUAUAAUUGAAUUACUAGACGUUUCAGGGGUCGUGCCCUAUCGUCUUUCGCAAAUAAAAUCUUUACAAAGCGUCGGACAAUAGUGCUAUUUUAGCUGUGGAUGUUUGAGACUCCGACCUAAUUGACAAAAUUAUGCUUUGGUGUCGUAUUUAGAUAAUAAAGGCAAUUUUAAGAGUAAAUUUAGGGUAAACUUUCCUAAAAUUCACAGGCACCGGUAGCGAGAGAUGUCAUGAUUAGACACCCCGCCCACUCAUCCUUUCGUGACGUCGAUGUGACAAACUAUGACCUAUGAGUAAUCAUCUAUCCUCUCCUGUAACUCAUUUCCACAGCAUUAAUUGCUGUGCAGCUUUCCAUGCUCAACAAUAAUGAAAAAAAAAGAAAAAAAAUUGUUUGAAAUAGGCAGCAUGUAGUAGAAUAUCAUUGUAUGUAUGUUAUUGUAUUGUACAGUAGUAAGCUACUACGUACUGUGAGAUUGUGGUUAGUAGCUAUUGCAAGACAAUCUCUGCAGCUGUUAUUGCCAUACAUAUUGCUUUUUUCUACUCAAGUGUCUAUUAAGAAUGGUUGUGUGCUAACCAGUUUCAUUUUACGUACAGUAAAUCCUCAGUAAACCAGUUCAGUAGGACGAAAAUCCCAUCCAAAUGUCUGGAGUUCUAAGAUAAGUUACAAGUACAGCUCCUUGCCCCCAUUCUACGUCCAAAAAAGUACACUGAUUUCACAAGAAUAUAUUUUCUAAUGUUGCACUUAUUUCGUAUCUAGAUUUUUUUUUUUUUGUUAAACAUUGUAGAGGUAUUGUUUCUUUGUAAACAUUUUUGUAUUUAGUACAGUGCAAAAAAAAUUGGGGUGUUAUUGUAUUGCAAAAAUGAAAAAUCAAAGUAAAUUUUUACGAAUGGAGACAACCUGACCAAACUGUGUGUAUACAGAUGCAUGUAAAAAUUGUACCCGGCCAAACUAUGUGUGUGCAGAUGUAUGUAAAAAUUGUGUCCAAACUGUGUGUAUGAAAGUGCAUGAAAAAGUUGUGCUCACAUGCACCAAGUCGAAAAUACUCCAAGGACUACCCGCGUCCAGAGACGAUGCAAGAAAUUAUUCAAAAUAAAAUAAUA